GGCUGGACACACCAUUGUAUACUAUGGCACGUGAUGUGGGAGGCAUUAUACCACACAUUACACUCAAGGUGGGGUUAGGUUUCAGAACAAGAGAUGUGGGCAGAAUGAUGGAAAGAGCCAGUGUCAGCAAGUGGCUGCCUGCGAAAGAAUUAGGGAAAGGUGACGUGGAGGUGUCACAGGAUAACACCUUGAUGCGAAUCAGACACUCAUCUCGCUUAACGGGGGAGCCUCAAGUAGUUGAGGUGAUUGAGUGAGAGAGGAUAGAGGAGGAAUAUACAGUGGGUGACUUUAUGGGAAUCCAUACUGUAUAUAUGAUGGGUAUGAAGGAAUAGGUAUAGUUAUUGAAAUGUUGAAUACAUGGGUGUUGCUUGAGGAUUGUAGCUUGGUGGAAGUGAGUGGAAUUGGAUUGUGUAUAGAAUGGGAAUUAGUGGGAAUUAAUAAAUAACGUAAUUGACAGAUUGAAUAAAGCACAGUUAUAUAUUGCAUAGCAUAUAAUACAUUUUGACAAUUGCUCCUGGCUGUUGGUAAUCUGUGAGUUUCACACAUGGGAUUAUUUACGGUUUAUGAAUAUGAAAUUGGGUUUGCUGGUAAAAAAUACAGGUGUGAUGCAUAUUGGGUUGAAAGGUUGAUUAAGUAGUGGAUGAAUGCUGAGAGUUGGAUAGUCGCAGCUGGAGUGUAAACAUUUUAUUCUAACAAGGAUAUAGAAUAGGUACUUGGUUGAUAACUUUGAUAACAAUCUGCAUUGAAAGUUUUUUGUUUGCAGGCCAGCAGCAGGAGAGAUAGUGGAGAAGAUAGCACAGAGGGUUAAGGAAUGUAGUGGUUGGUACAGCUGUUGUUGAAGAAAGGACCCCUGCGUCCCCCUCUGGUUCAUACACAAAAGGCCCUCGGGUUAGAAGUGAUAAGACUGUUUGCCCAGGUGUGGCACUGGGGUCAUGGGGAGCCAGGCAGGGGUAGGUAAGAAGUAUGGUUAUUUAGCAACAGGACGUCAGGAAAGGGUUAAGAGAAAGUUUAUUGGAGAGAGUGAGAAAACAAGAGAUUGAUAGAGCCUAGCGGGGGUUUAGAAGAGAGUUUUGGAAGUAAUUAAUAUGACUAAGGGGUUAACUGAUAAGAAAGAGCAGGAGGCAAAAGGGGUAUAUGGAGGUAUGUUUUGUAGUAAGAAAAGUUAAAGUUAGAAUGGGCUAUAGAUAAGGACUUUUAAAUGAAUAAAUGAGGGUUUAAAACAUUAGAUAAUUUCUUGAAAUAAAAUUAAAAAUAGGGUAAUUACAUAUGCAUUUAUAGAUCGAGGGAAUAGGAAAAUGGAUAGACAGAAGCAAAGUGGUUUGAAGGAGGUACAUGGAAAGUAAGAAUGAGGAGGUAAAUGGGAAGUUAAAGAGAUGGAAAAUGAGGGGUAGGAUAUGUUAUGUUUCAUUUAUCAGUAUUCUAGGUAUACAGAUGAGAGGAGUGACAGAGAGAAGGGGAGCCGUGUGCAAGUGUCAGUGGAACCUGAAAGCAAGCCAGGUUGAGGAUGGAACUAGAUGGCUGAUCUAAGGUUGAUGUGAGGAAUUGUGUGGGGUUUUGGUGUUAACUCCUUGAAAGUAUAUGUGAAAAUAACAUGGUUUUUAAGUGUCUCUUACAGGUUUGGUGGAAACAUUAAAAGUGAUUCGGGCUGAGGAGCAGCAGGAACAAGAUGGUUUAUUUGUGUAUUUGGAAGGAAUGGUAUG
ensembl:lncRNA